rnacentral:rRNA from 1 species
GAUGAACGCUGGCGGUAUGCUUUACACAUGCAAGUCGUACGGAAGUGUUAAAACUUUAGUGGCGGACGGGUGAGUAACACGUGAGAAUUUACCUUUAGGAGGGAAUAACAGUUAGAAAUGACUGCUAAUGCCGCAUAUCAUAAAUAUGGAAGAAGAAAUUCGCCUAAAGAAAAGCUUGCGUCUGAUUAGCUAGUUGGUAAGGGUAAAGGCCUACCAAGGCGACGAUCAGUAGCUGGUUUGAGAGGACGACCAGUCACACUGGAACUGAGACACGGUCCAG